GCAAGGCCCCGGCCCGAUGCGGAACUGCUAGCUGAUGAAAGAAGAAGCGGAAAGGCCGGGGCGAUAGAGACUGACGGAAACGCAUGCGCCGGCACCGGCAGUUUCAAAUGGCCGUGGCCUGCCAAACCGAGCGAGCGGAGGCAGCCGCGCCGACAGGCAGCUGGACCACACGAGCAACAACAACCGGGGCCCGGGGGUGGACACAUGAUGGCCGAUCCCGCUGCGAAGGUUCUCUAAUUCCCUGUCAAGCUACACAUGCAAUGCCAACCCACAUGGAGACGAGCCUCCUCGAUCGGGCAACCCUUUUCCUUGACCGACUCGUGCUGUAGACACUGUAGUGUGUGUGGGUUAUUAGGUUUAGCUAGCACUGUUACUACAAACUUUUACUGAGUCAACGGGACAGACCGAUCCCCUCCUUUUGUUAAUAGCCGGUAAUCAAUCAGUAGCACUAGCACCUACCAUCUUCAAUUGACCGUGCAUCCAGGGCUCGCGGGCCGGUUGCCAUCGCCGUCAUAUUCGGAGGUGUGUUUGGUUUCCUAAGUCAAUGUUUAAAUAUCUACUAGGUAUAUGGCCGUGCGUUGCGACGGCAUACAAAUUAUUUGAUCCAAAGUUAGUAUAUAAUGAUUACAUGAAAAUAAACAAUACAUAUUAUCAUCAACUACAAACUUAUCUAUUGGCACGAACACUAAGCAUGACAUUAAUAAUCUCAAACAAAUAUGAUGAAUAAUAUACACAUUUGAUAUUUCUAGUUUGCCUUAGAUUCAUAAGUCUUCUCAGAGCCUUCGAAUAAGCAUCAACACCAUAUUUCUGUGUCGCAGCAGAAACAAACCCUUGCCAAAUACUCAUGCCAUGACACAGCUUAUGACAUCUCCACCAUUGAGCAACAUUUGGAUCGGAAUGCAUUGAUGCUGCAGAAACCCACAUGAACUUUGGAACACUAUAGAUGGUAAAAUACUCCAUACACCGAUCAAGCCACACCACUGGAUCCCCUCCCAGAUAGACAGGAAAUGACCACUUAGGUAAUACCUGUCGAUGCUCUUCUGUUUGUACCCUACUCUCCCCCUGGAACUCCUACUGCUUCCCCUCCAUACCUCAAUGGUGAUCAAAUCUCUUCUGAUGGUCUCCAUCCCACAUCAAACAGAGACCUAAAACAUCCAACUCAUACCCCCAUUCACUUGCUCUAGAAGAAGUGGCAUGCAUCUUCGCUUUAACAAAGUAGUGGCAUGCAUAUUAACUGCAUUUUAGCUGAGAACUCAUUACUCCUAAAUGAUAUAUUAACUGCAGACAUAUUGAAGACAGGCUGUGCGAUUUACCUGACUAUUACAAUGUGAUUUAAGUCCAUUUAUAUCACCAUUAGCUCUGAAAAUUUCUGCUGCAUUCCGGUCAUCUCUGUACCUGAAGAAGUAUUCAUUCUGCAAUCCAAAACAAAUGCGAAGGAACUUGUUCAACUUUUAGAGAACUAAUGAGCAAAUUUUAAACACUACAGACCACAUGCUUCCCUAUAAGAAAUUUGACUGUGUAAGUGAUGACACUACUUUUUUGCUCGCAGGUGAAAACACCUGCCUCCAGGAAGCACUAUCAGCAUAUCACAUAGAAAAAUGAUCGUCAUUGGUAAUCAGUAAUAAGAUUCUGAUAACAUGAGCACAGGCACAUAACAAGUGACAUUAAUGAGGACCACAUCACUGAUAGUGAUGACUAGUGUAAUGUUGUUCCUAACCCAUCAGUUAACCUUUCUCCAUGUAACCAGGAAUCUUCUCAACUAAUCAUGUAUCCAAUACACCAUUAUAUCCAGUACUUUAUAUUUCUGAAUAUAUAUAUUUUUAGAAAGCGCAGGAGAGCUGUGUUUCAUUGAUCAAAGAAUUCCAAAAAAAAACAUCUUUACAUGAAGUAAGUUUGUAACAGAUAGAUGAACAAAUUAUACAAUUUUGAAGCAAAACAACAAAAAUACUCCUUUGCUAUUAUAGUACUGCUUUUGAGCAGGUUUCUCCAUACUCACAAAUUAAUCUCACACUGAUAGUAUUUAUAAGUGAUUUUAUCUUUCUAAAUAGUACCCUAACUUUUUAUUUUUAUUUUUUCUUAACUCCUAACGUGACCGUCCUUGCUUGUUGGAUUUCUUGGGAUGCUCCAUUUGGUCAUCAAGGAUAUUGUCGGCAGGAUCAAAGUCAAACUGAUGCUGAAAACUGAUGUGUGAACUGCUGCUUGGUAGCAGUUUUUUGUCUGAAAACUGAUGCUGAAAAACUAAAAGCCACUUCUCUGCCUGAUAGGAUUAAAUACAACUGCUCUCUUUCUGUAAGCAGUAUUUUUUUUGUUUGUCAAAACUGAAAGCAUGCAAGCAACUUAUUUGUUUGUCAAAACAGCUGCUAUAUUUGUUUGUCAAAAAUGGCUGGAAGCAAGUCACUUCAGCACUUAUAUUGGCUAGAUUGGCACCCAUGCAGAACUGAAGGUUUCAGUUAAUCAUGUAGAGCCCUCACAAUUAUCAUUGUUCGUGUAUGAAGCAGAAUUGAAGAUUACUGACAUGCACUUGUCAUUGAUAUCAGCUGUGUUUUCGAAUUGUUUUGAUUGCGGAUGAAUACAAUUGCGGUUGUUUUGAUUUCUCUGUUUUGAUUGCUGGCUGCUUGCUGGGGCUAACUAAACAAGCAAAAAGAGAGACAGGGAACUAUUGAAUAGGACCUGCAUGAGCUUGAUCGUCGCUGUCAUCCCACUACACCAUCGUCCUUGGCACUGCAAUCGCCAUGCUGCUGCAGCACGACGGCAAGCCUCGGGGAGCUCGAUGA